GGAGGAGAGGAGAGGAGAGAUAUGGACACAACCAGGACAGGGGAUAGGGAGGAGAUGAGAGAUAUGGACACAACCAGGACAGGGGUUAGGGAUGAGAGAGGAGAAGAGAUAUGGACACAACCAGGACAGGGGAUAGGGAGGAUAGGAGAGAUAUGGACACAACCAGGACAGGGGAUAGGGAGGAUAGUAGAGGAGAGAUAUGUACACAACCAGGACAGGGUUUAGGGUGGAGAGGAGAGAUAUGGUCACAACCAGGACAGGGGUUAGGGAGGAGAG
ensembl:lncRNA